GAAACCGAGUCUUAACCGGGCGUUAAGUUGCAGGGUAUAGACCCGAAACCCGGUGAUCUAGCCAUGGGCAGGUUGAAGGUUGGGUAACACUAACUGGAGGACCGAACCGACUAAUGUUGAAAAAUUAGCGGAUGACCUGUGGCUGGGGGUGAAAGGCCAAUCAAACCGGGAGAUAGCUGGUUCUCCCCGAAAGCUAUUUAGGUAGCGCCUCGUGAAUUCAUCUCCGGGGGUAGAGCACUGUUUCGGCUAGGGGGCCAUCCCGGCUUACCAACCCGAUGCAAACUGCGAAUACCGGAGAAUGUUAUCACGGGAGACACACGGCGGGUGCUAACGUCCGUCGUGAAGAGGGAAACAACCCAGACCGCCAGCUAAGGUCCCAAAGUCAUGGUUAAGUGGGAAACGAUGUGGGAAGGCCCAGACAGCCAGGAUGUUGGCUUAGAAGCAGCCAUCAUUUAAAGAAAGCGUAAUAGCUCACUGGUCGAGUCGGCCUGCGCGGAAGAUGUAACGGGGCUAAACCAUGCACCGAAGCUGCGGCAGCGACGCUUAUGCGUUGUUGGGUAGGGGAGCGUUCUGUAAGCCUGUGAAGGUGUGUCGUGAGGCAUGCUGGAGGUAUCA
rnacentral:rRNA from 1 species